rnacentral:rRNA from 1 species
CCACUUGCUGGCGNUCUCUCGGCGAACGNAUGAGUAUACNUGCGUACCUGCCCUUGACUCUGGGAUAAGCCUGGGAAACUGGGUCUAAUACUGGAUACUACCUCGCACCGCAUGGUGGGUGGUGGAAAGGGUUUUACUGGUUUUGGAUGGGCUCACGGCCUAUCAGCUUGUUGGUGGGGUAAUGGCUCACCAAGGCGACGACGGGUAGCCGGCCUGAGAGGGUGACCGGCCACACUGGGACUGAGACACGGCCCAGACUCCUACGGGAGGCAGCAGUGGGGAAUAUUGCACAAUGGGCGGAAGCCUGAUGCAGCGACGCCGCGUGAGGGAUGACGGCCUUCGGGUUGUAAACCUCUUUCAGUAGGGAAGAAGCGAGAGUGACGGUACCUGCAGAAGAAGCGCCGGCUAACUACGUGCCAGCAGCCGCGGUAAUACGUAGGGCGCAAG